rnacentral:rRNA from 1 species
UAGGGAAUCUUCCGCAAUGGGCGAAAGCCUGACGGAGCAACGCCGCGUGAGUGAUGAAGGUCUUCGGAUCGUAAAACUCUGUUAUUAGGGAAGAACAAAUGUGUAAGUAACUAUGCACGUCUUGACGGUACCUAAUCAGAAAGCCACGGCUAACUACGUGCCAGCAGCCGCGGUAAUACGUAGGUGGCAAGCGUUAUCCGGAAUUAUUGGGCGUAAAGCGCGCGUAGGCGGUUUUUUAAGUCUGAUGUGAAAGCCCACGGCUCAACCGUGGAGGGUCAUUGGAAACUGGAAAACUUGAGUGCAGAAGAGGAAAGUGGAAUUCCAUGUGUAGCGGUUAAAUGCGCAGAGAUAUGGAGGAACACCAGUGGCGAAGGCGACUUUCUGGUCUGUAACUGACGCUGAUGUGCGAAAGCGUGGGGAUCAAACAGG